AGAGUCCACCUUGAAGCUGUGUCUUUUACAGUCUAAUGAAGGAUUUCACAUUUCUUACUAACCAUCAAAAUGCCUAUCAUUAUUAGGGCUGCCAUAUGGGAUUCGUCCUUCGGAAAUGGUGUCUGGGCGUAAUUUCCAGAAAGUGGCAAAAAUGUCCAGGAAAACCCAGGCGUAUGGCAGCCCAUAUCGGAGGUGCGGGUCCCCCCCCCCCCGCAAUUUUCCUGAAAAAAAUAGAUAAGAAACUUCAUUUCUUUUGGAUAUUUUGCAACAUUUCUGGAUUUUCACUCUUUGAAAUAUGGCAACCCUAAUUAUUAUGCUAGGUGGAAUGUGUGUGGAGGAAGACUCUGUGUCCUAAGGAAGGGGCACAACAUCUCUUAACGAUGCCCUCCUUGGUGGGGCUACCCAAGAUCAGAAGAGGCGUCAUUGUUCCCAAGUGUGGGACCAAAUGGAUCCCAAUCACUUAUAGGGGAGAAGGCAAAGGGCUGAACCUAUAGGGCCAAGUUGAGGUCAAGGCUACACCUGCUACUUCCCCAGGCUACUCCAAUGUCUGAGCCAUGGGCCAAGUUCCAGGGUGAAAAUAAAAAGUGGAAGUCAGCAUUUUCCCAGCAAGUCUGGUUCAGCCCAGAGUCUGAAACUAGCUUGUUUCCUUCGUCCCAUAUAUAACCCUGCACAAAGGAUCAACAACAGAUAACUCCUACAGACCUUCCAGGUUCAUGGCCUCAGUUUAUUGGAGCAGAUUUCUAAGAGCGAUACAGUAUUUGGACUGUUAUUAUGGGUCACUAGAUAAAAUGAUGCAACGCUUGGAAGGCAAGCGAGACAAUCUUCUUUUGGAGAGGAUUUUACAAGGCCUAAUUCAUAGCUCCCAUUGUUCUCAAGUGCUUCCCUGUAUCGUACAGGCUUUUGUCUCACUCAAAUAUAUGCUGAUGAAAUUUGCAUUGUGGAUAUUAGAGUGGUCCAAAUGAAACACAAGUUGCAUGUUUCAGCAUUUCGGCCUGAUUCAGCGAGCACUCUGGGCAACUCCAGUGCAUUCCUGGCAAGGUUCUGCCCAAGACAACUGACCUCUUUGAUUUCAAGUAAAGAGUACAGCAGAAAUAAAAUGGGACUCCUUACAAGGACUGGUAUCCCACCAUGACAUGAAUGCACCUAGGACUCUGGAUCAAGGUGUUUACCGAAAUGAUCAAGCAAAUCCGCCCUAACAACGCUCAGUUUCACAGCCCCAGUUUACCCUGAAUGCUGUUGAACCACUUGGCAGGUUAGCCUCAUAUUUUGCCUUUCCUGAAAUGUCACCACCUACACAGAGGCAAAGCUGGCUAAACUGGACCCAGGUUACAUAACGCAGGCAACACAGAGGAUGGUGUUACGAGAGUUCACACAUUAGCAGGGGAACGAGUUGGACCAGCAUUUCCAAGGACUUGAAGUUCAGGGUUGCCUUCAACUUCAGGGAAAGGUGAAUGGCCUAAGGGACUUUUCAGAAGGUCCUUUUGACGUAAUCAGAGUCAUAGGUUCUCACGGCCUAAGUGACUCAUGUCUUAGGGCAGUGGUCUUCACCUGAGGUGGGCUGGAAGGAAAGGAGGCACAUGAGAUAAUACAAUGAGUGAGGGGAUAGUUAGCAUCCCUGCUCCUCUUUCCAAAGCAACUGAAGUCAAUGUGGAAAGGGGAGAACUUCUCUGUCCUCCACAAUUCAGACCUCCACUCUCUUCCUUUUUUAUAAAAGCCUGAGAAGAGCCUGCUGGGUCAGGCCAAAGGCCAUCUAGUCCAACAUCCUGUUCUCACGGUGGCCAAACUGAUACCUGUGGGAAACCUUAAGCACAGGAGCCCUCUUUCCUCCAAAGCACACAGCCUCCAACAGUGGAGGCAGAACACAGCCAUCAUGGCUGGCAGACAUUGAAGGCCUCAACCGCCAUGGAUUUGUCUAAUGGAGAACAUAAGGUCUUCCUUCUCCUCAGUCAGAACCCACCAACCCAAGACCAUGUGUUCUGUGUGGCUCAUAACAUUCCCCUCAGCGUUCCAAUAUCUCUCCCCCCCCCCCGUGUGGUGCUGCUGCUUUGUUUUUAAUUUUUUAAUAAUUAGGAGGCUCACAUAGAGACCUGUAAUAGUAACCCAGGGUUGUCAGAUGCCCUCAGCACACAUGGAAAGGGGAAAAUACAUUUAUGGUAGGGUUACCAGAUGUCCCCGUUUCCCAGGGACAGUCCCCGGAUUUGCACAUUUGUCCCCGGACAAAUUCCAUCCCUAGAAUGUCCCCAGAUUUCAUCUAAUGUCCCUGGGAAAUGUGGCAGCAGCAGUGGCAGCUGCAGUCUCAGCAGCCCGGAGCCAGCCUAGGGGCAGAAGACACGGUGCUGGGCGCCACUGCCAGGCAAGAGCUGCGCGGGGUCAUUGGGUUUGGUGUGCCACUGCAACCUGGCAACCUGGCACUCAGCUCGCCAUCGGCGCCGCUGUCCAAGGCCGUCGGCUCGGGCUCGUUCUCCAGCUGGUGCUUGGGUGGCUUCAGCUGCUCGGCUUCACCAUUGUGCUCCUUGACUUGGAAGUGGCGGCUCAUCGUUGGCCAUCACGGACGAGAGGCGAGCAGGAGAAAAGCUGAUCUGGCCCAAGCACGCCUCCUCCCACUCGCUCGCUGCUGGCUCUGCCCCAAACCCACUGACUGGGUGCACCACGGCAUGGAUGGGUGGCUGCCGGACGAUGCCUGCGCAGGAGAUGCCCAGACAGGCAGGCAGGGCAGCAGCAGGAGGAGGGGGUUUCUGCUAACACUUACUCCUGAGGAAGCCUGUAGGGGAUCGCAGUGCAAGGAGCGGGGGGGAGUAUGACUAGUGCUCCAAGAAAGGCCAGGACCCAGAGGAAGGAUGCGUAACAGAGGAGACCACAGAAGAGAAGAUAUUACUUCUUCUUUUUUAAAUAACUUUAUUCCUCUCUCUUUUU
rnacentral:lncRNA from 1 species